GAUGAACGCUGGCGGUGUGCCUAAUACAUGCAAGUCGAGCGAACAGACGAGGAGCUUACUCCUCUGACGUUAGCGGCGGACGGGUGAGUAACACGUGGAUAACCUACUUAUUUGACUGGGAUAAUUACGGGAAACCGGAGCUAAUACCGGAUAACAUGUUGAACCGCAGGGUUCAACAGAGAAUGACGGUCUUGCUGUCAGUUUUAGAUGGAUCCGCGUCGGAUUGGCUGGUUGGUAAGGUACCGGCUUACCAAGGCAACGAUGCGGAGCCGAACGGGUGGACGGAUCGGCCACAUGAGAGCUGAGACACGCACCAGACUCCUACGGGACGCAGCAGUAGGGAAUCUGACGCAAUAGGCGAGAGCAUGACGGAGCGGCCCGGAGUGAGUGAAGAAGAUCUUCGGAUCGUAAAGCUCUGUUAUUAGGGAAAAACAAAUGUGGAAGGAGAUGUACACGUAGUGACGGUACCUAAUCAGGAAGCCACGGCUAACUACGUG
rnacentral:rRNA from 1 species